rnacentral:rRNA from 1 species
GAGAAUGUUAUCACGGGAGACACACGGCGGGUGCUAACGUCCGUCGUGAAGAGGGAAACAACCCAGACCGCCAGCUAAGGUCCCAAAGUCAUGGUUAAGUGGGAAACGAUGUGGGAAGGCCCAGACAGCCAGGAUGUUGGCUUAGAAGCAGCCAUCAUUUAAAGAAAGCGUAAUAGCUCACUGGUCGAGUCGGCCUGCGCGGAAGAUGUAACGGGGCUAAACCAUGCACCGAAGCUGCGGCAGCGACGCUUAUGCGUUGUUGGGUAGGGGAGCGUUCUGUAAGCCUGCGAAGGUGUGCUGUGAGGCAUGCUGGAGGUAUCAGAAGUGCGAAUGCUGACAUAAGUAACGAUAAAGCGGGUGAAAAGCCCGCUCGCCGGAAGACCAAGGGUUCCUGUCCAACGUUAAUCGGGGCAGGGUGAGUCGACCCCUAAGGCGAGGCCGAAAGGCGUAGUCGAUGGGAAACAGGUUAAUAUUCCUGUACUUGGUGUUACUGCGAAGGGGGGACGGAGAAGGCUAUGUUGGCCGGGCGACGGUUGUCCCGGUUUAAGCGUGUAGGCUGGUUUUCCAGGCAAAUCCGGAAAAUCAAGGCUGAGGCGUGAUGACGAGGCACUACGGUGCUGAAGCAACAAAUGCCCUGCUUCCAGGAAAAGCCUCUAAGCAUCAGGUAACAUCAAAUCGUACCCCAAACCGACACAGGUGGUCAGGUAGAGAAUACCAAGGCGCUUGAGAGAACUCGGGUGAAGGAACUAGGCAAAAUGGUGCCGUAACUUCGGGAGAAGGCACGCUGAUAUGUAGGUGAAGUCCCUUGCGGAUGGAGCUGAAAUCAGUCGAAGAUACCAGCUGGCUGCAACUGUUUAUUAAAAACACAGCACUGUGCAAACACGAAAGUGGACGUAUACGGUGUGACGCCUGCCCGGUGCCGGAAGGUUAAUUGAUGGGGUCAGCGCAAGCGAAGCUCUUGAUCGAAGCCCCGGUAAACGGCGGCCGUAACUAUAACGGUCCUAAGGUAGCGAAAUUCCUUGUCGGGUAAGUUCCGACCUGCACGAAUGGCGUAAUGAUGGCCAGGCUGUCUCCACCCGAGACUCAGUGAAAUUGAACUCGCUGUGAAGAUGCAGUGUACCCGCGGCAAGACGGAAAGACCCCGUGAACCUUUACUAUAGCUUGACACUGAACAUUGAGCCUUGAUGUGUAGGAUAGGUGGGAGGCUUUGAAGUGUGGACGCCAGUCUGCAUGGAGCCGGCCUUGAAAUACCACCCUUUAAUGUUUGAUGUUCUAACGUGGACCCGUGAUCCGGGUUGCGGACAGUGUCUGGUGGGUAGUUUGACUGGGGCGGUCUCCUCCUAAAGAGUAACGGAGGAGCACGAAGGUUGGCUAAUCCUGGUCGGACAUCAGGAGGUUAGUGCAAUGGCAUAAGCCAGCUUGACUGCGAGCGUGACGGCGCGAGCAGGUGCGAAAGCAGGUCAUAGUGAUCCGGUGGUUCUGAAUGGAAGGGCCAUCGCUCAACGGAUAAAAGGUACUCCGGGGAUAACAGGCUGAUACCGCCCAAGAGUUCAUAUCGACGGCGGUGUUUGGCACCUCGAUGUCGGCUCAUCACAUCCUGGGGCUGAAGUAGGUCCCAAGGGUAUGGCUGUUCGCCAUUUAAAGUGGUACGCGAGCUGGGUUUAGAACGUCGUGAGACAGUUCGGUCC